rnacentral:misc_RNA from 1 species
GGAAAGCAUCUUCCAUAAUCCUUGCUUCUCUCUCUGUGUUCAGAACAAAUUAGGGUUUGGUUUUGUGGUAUAUUUUAAGGAUUAUUGACAAUGAGUUCUACUGGUGGAUCGACCAAGGGCGGAAGAGGAAAGCCUAAGGCGUCGAAGUCUGUGUCGCGGUCGCAGAAGGCUGGGUUGCAGUUUCCCGUUGGGAGGAUCGCCAGGUUUCUCAAGGCCGGAAAAUAUGCAGAGCGUGUCGGUGCUGGAGCUCCUGUCUAUCUUUCUGCUGUCCUCGAGUACCUGGCUGCUGA